GGCCCAUACCACCCAUCCCGCCCCUGCCACCACUGGUCCCUCACAUCACUGGACAAUCCCACCCUGUCCUCAGGAUGGAGCAAACCCAAAGGGAGCGGAUGGCUGCAUGCAGGUACCCCACCGUGCCACGGCAGUGUGGGGGCCAGCAUACCGUCACGCACCCUCUGCAGCGCAGCUUGCGCCUCCAGCCUGUCCAGCCCAGCACCCCGCAGGCACUCCAGCCUUCCACCCUGCUCCCAAGCAAGCAUGACAACAAGUUAGAGCUGUUGGGCCAGGACAGCCGCUGGGCUGACCCCUGCCCCUCAGCCCCGGGCACCACUGCCCCACUGGAACACAGGUCAGCCUCAUCCCAUGGCCACCUUGUCCAAGUACAGCGGCCCCUCCCAUCCCUCCAGGCCCGCAGGAUGGAUGCAGCAACCCGGCAGCCAGGCAGGACUGGGGGUCACCGCCUGAAUCUCAGCGCCCCGGCGCCCCAGCAGGCGAAGAAGUAGCUCCCGGCAGCAGCAAUAAAGGGUCUGAUGGCAUAAAUUCUUGAACAGCAACGCCCAUCCAAGGCCCCCAGCUUCUUGCUGCUCGAACAUGGAGAAGAUCAAUCAGAAUAUAGAGAGAUGACUCAGGGAUUCUCUGUGUGCA
rnacentral:lncRNA from 1 species